GCUGAGUUGACCCCUUCAGGUACUUGGACAGGAGCGACUGGUCUUCGGAGAAGUACUUGCCCAGUACAUAUUAAAGCUAGUGAUACUGGAACUUUUCCGUUGACUACAGUUAUGUAGGUACUCCCCAGUUACAUGUUCUAUCAGGAGUACUGGAACUGGGGAGAUGGGCUCAUGAGUAAGCAUGCUUGCUAUGCCAGUACAAGGAUCUGAGUUGGAGUCUCUAGAACACAGAAGCUGAAUGUAUAAUGUGAGCAUCUGUAAUCCCAGGAUUCCUGAAUCCCUGGAAGUGAGCAGGGCAGCUAGCCUGGCAUACACAGUAGAAAAACAGUAGAGAGAGCCCAUCUCAGACAAGGUAGAAGAUAAUGACCGACAGCCAAGAUUGUCUCCUGACUUCCAUACAUGUGGUAUAGCACAUGCACUCCUACUUUCACACUCGUGAAUGCAUGUGUGCACACACUAGAUCCAAGAGUGUAUCUUGUUUAGUCCUCCCUCUAAGGCAUUUGCAACAUCAUGGUAUGAUGGAAAACUCCGAACCUUGAAAUCUGAGAAAUGGGUAUGAACCCACCCCUCACUGGGAGUAUAACAUUGCAUAGUCGUAUCAUCUGCAUGGGUCCUAGAGAUUUUGUUGUUGUUAUUGUUGAAACAAUAGAACUAACAUCAUCUCUCUACCUGUAAGAUAAGGUUAAGUACAAAAUACAAAUAGGAAAAAAAUGCACCUUUAGCACAGUGCCUUCUCUUAGAAGGAACUCAGUCAUUCAACAAAUGUUUACUAAAUGUUUGUUAUGUGUUAGUACAUUGGUAGGCAACCUCAGCGCCUGCUGAGGCUAGAGGAAUAAGACAAGCUGACGUUUCAUCUCUCCAGGAUCUCACUCUUAGGAAGAAAGGAUCAACAUGUACACACAAAUGCAGACACGUGGGAGAAUGGUAUAUUUGAGAAAGAGUUAAUAAAGGGGAAAAGAGAGAUCGCUAUCGUGUGUGUGACACAGCAGUCAAAUGUUAAGGAAUCUUCAUUAAAGACACAGUAGUGAUGGAAGUGGCAUUGGCUGGUGUGUGACAAUAUUACACCUGUAUUACUAUGAUCCCUUGAUAUUUUGUGAUAGAUACUACUGAUAUCUUCAUGAUCCAGGAGAAUCCCAGUUUUAUACCUAUCCCUAUAGAAUGAUAUAAAGUGCUUGAAUCUACAGCAAACAGUAACAAAACCUCUUGGAGAUACGAGUUUUGCUUGCAUGCUAAUUUCACGCAUUAAAGAAGUGACUGGCUCUUAUCUAUCUAAGGCUCACUCGUGCUUCUGUAAAAUAACAGCUUGUUCCAACUCACAGACCUUUGCAGGGGUCAGGGGGCUCCUCUGGGAAUAGUCAAAUGUGCAAAUAGCAGGAUCUACUAUAAUUGAGUAGCAGAGGCCUCCUUCAAGGAAGAACACAGUAUUGGCUGUGUGAUACAUAUUCCAACCAAAUUAUAUGUUAAAGCUGGAAGAUAUUUCACCUCUCAUUUUACAAACUAUAAAGCAGAACUCAAAGAGUGAAGGCAGUUCCCAAUAUCACAUUGGAUAUGAUGGAAAUAUCACAUUAGAUGGGACAGAAGCUGGGAACGCAAAGGAUGUUAGAAGCUGCAGCGUUAAUGUCCCCUUCUGCUUCGGGCAUCUCUGCUUUAUUUUUAUUCACCAGUAAAAUGUUAGUCCUGCAAAGAAUAUGACAAUUUGGAUGUGAAGGCUGUUUUGAGAGUGCAAGUCUUGGAGUAUUAUGUGACUAAUGUCUUAACUAAGGAUACUAAUAUAGCAUGGACUAUUUUUAAUCUCUCAGCUCACCUUGAAACUGUUCAGGGAAGGAGGAAGAUCCUGAGCCAAUGGAGUUUCUGCGUUUUAAUAAAAGUUUGUCUUCUCUGGACUCUUCUGACUCCUAAAGUCAAAGUUUCCUCACUCAUUCCCAAGAAAAAAGGCAAGGAAUGCUAAACAAAGCCAGACCAGUAACUGAAGAUUCUUCUUGGUCCGGUCUCCCCAUCAUACUCCUAGAGCAUGUGUGCACACCUUUGGCUGGGUUUCCCCUAGGCCCAUGAAGGCUGAUUAUUGAAGGCAGUAGACUGAUUAUUGAAGAUGUUGUUUUAUUCUUACUUUUUUUUAAAUGAGGAAUUAAGCUGUACUUCCCAAUACAGUCUUAAGUCCUGGCACAAAGCCAGUAGUAUGUACUUGAUAGCUGAAUAUAGAUUGUUUGAUUCUCAACUACAGCAAGACCCACAUACAUAGAUUCUAUGCCAUUGAAGACCUUUUUGCAAGAAUGGGAUGCUUUGAGGAUUUUGCCAACUAGCAUCACAUAAAUAUUCUCAGGUAGCAUUCAUAGGAGUCAGGUCUUACCUCCAGCACACACAGGAAGAAGUGAGCAUUGUGAAAAUGAGGAGAGAAAGGAGCCAGCUGAAGUUUGCAGGAGGGUUGAGAGAUGGCUCUAGGCUGACAAAUCUGGGCAAAAUACAAUCAUGCUCUAUAUGUAUGAAAAUGUCACAAUGGAACCCCUUGUCUUAUUUGCUAACAUAAACAAACUUACCC
rnacentral:lncRNA from 1 species